rnacentral:rRNA from 1 species
GGACGAACGCUGGCGGCGUGCUUAACACAUGCAAGUCGGACGGUCGGCACUGGAAGGUUCGCUGGAAGGUGCCGGUAGUGGCGGACGGGUGAGUAACGCGUGAGGACAUGGCUCCAGGAGGGGGACAACGUUUGGAAACGGACGCUAAGACCCCAUAUGCCGGAAGGUGAAAAUGGUGCAAGCCAGCCUGGAGAGUGACUCGCGUCCUAUCAGCUAGUUGGUGGGGUGAAGGCCUACCAAGGCGAUGACGGGUAGCCGACCUGAGAGGGUGGCCGGCCACACUGGAACUGAGAUACGGUCCAGACUCCUACGGGAGGCAGCAGUGGGGAAUAUUGGGCAAUGGGCGCAAGCCUGACCCAGCGACGCCGCGUGGGGGAAGAAGUCUUUCGGGAUGUAAACCCUUGUUGUACGGGACGAAACGAAUGACGGUACCGUACGAGGGAGCCCCGGCAAACUACGUGCCAGCAGCCGCGGUAAUACGUAGGGGGCGAGCGUUGUCCGGAAUUACUGGGCGUAAAGCGCACGUAGGCGGGCUGUCAAGUCGGCCGUGAAAGGCACUGGCUCAACCGGUGUUUGUCGGUCGAUACUGGCGGUCUGGAGUAUGGGAGAGGGAACUGGAAUUCCCGGUGUAGCGGUGAAAUGCGUAGAUAUCGGGAGGAACACCGGUGGCGAAAGCGGCUCUCUGGCACGCUACUGACGCUGAGGCUCGAAAGCGUGGGGAGCGAACGGGAUUAGAUACCCCGGUAGUCCACGCCGUAAACGUUGUGCACUAGGUGUAGGAGGUAUCGACCCCUUCCGUGCCGCAGCUAACGCAUUAAGUAUCCCGCCUGGGGAGUACGGCCGCAAGGUUGAAACUCAAAGGAAUUGACGGGGGCCCGCACAAGCGGUGGAGCAUGUGGUUUAAUUCGAUGCAACGCGAAGAACCUUACCAGGGUUUGACAUGCUGGUGGUAGAAGCCUGAAAGGGUGACGACCUUCGGUUUUCCGAGGGAGCCAGCACAGGCGCUGCAUGGUUGUCGUCAGCUCGUGUCGUGAGAUGUUGGGUUAAGUCCCGCAACGAGCGCAACCCUUACCCUUAGUUGCGACCAGGUAAUGCUUGAGCACUCUAAGGGGACUGCCGGUGACAAACCGGAGGAAGGUGGGGAUGACGUCAAAUCCGCAUGGCCCUUAUGUCCUGGGCGACACACGUGCUACAAUGGCCAGUACAGAGGGUUGCGAACCCGCGAGGGGGAGCCAAUCCCAAAAAGCUGGCCCCAGUUGGGAUUGCAGGCUGCAACUCGCCUGCAUGAACGCGGAAUCGCUAGUAAUCGCGUAUCAGCUACGGCGCGGUGAAUGCGUUCCCGGGCCUUGUACACACCGCCCGUCACACCACGAAAGUCGAUUUUACCUGAAGUCACUGAGCUAACCCGCAAGGGAGGCAGGUGCCGAAGGUAGGGUCGGUGAUUGGGGUGAAGUCCUAACAAGGUAGCC